rnacentral:rRNA from 1 species
CCGGCACGGGUGAGUAACACGUAUCCAACCUGCCGUCUACUCUUGGACAGCCUUCUGAAAGGAAGAUUAAUACAAGAUGGCAUCAUGAGUCCGCAUGUUCACAUGAUUAAAGGUAUUCCGGUAGACGAUGGGGAUGCGUUCCAUUAGAUAGUAGGCGGGGUAACGGCCCACCUAGUCUUCGAUGGAUAGGGGUUCGGAGAGGAAGGUCCCCCACAUUGGAACUGAGACACGGUCCAA